rnacentral:rRNA from 1 species
UACGUAGGGGGCAAGCGUUGUCCGGAUUUAUUGGGCGUAAAGAGCGUGUAGGCGGCCUGGAAGGUCAGCUGUGAAAACUCGAGGCUCAACCUCGAGACGUCGGUUGAAACCACCUGGCUAGAGUCCGGAAGAGGAGUGUGGAAUUCCCGGUGUAGCGGUGAAAUGCGCAGAUAUCGGGAAGAACACCCGUGGCGAAGGCGGCACUCUGGGACGGUACUGACGCUGAGACGCGAAAGCGUGGGAGCGAACAGG